CCAGCUCGAAGGCCACGAAUGCUCAUCUCGUACAGGUUGCUUCAUGCAUCCACAUUUCUGAGCGGGCUAAGGUCUGAGUAUUUCAAUCCCCCUCGAUUGGCUCUAGCGGAGUCCAGCUGUAAUCAGCUGCGUGACGUACCAGAAAAGCAGCUUUAUUUUCAUAUCCCAAAGAUUCUGUUUCGGCGGAGGAGGGCGAGAACGAAAGCUUUGAAAGCGUCGCGGGGAUUGGGCAAACUUGCAUCCAUCGAUUAGCAAUCAGUUGUUGCUAUCGCGCAUACGUCUGUCAAGAAGACGCUGAAGGGAUAGGUUACUAUUCUUGUGAAUGUGACCCUCAGGCUACUUGAUCCCUUGCCAUGGUAUGUAGGUCAAUACCUACACAUCUAGUCACCUAGAUGAUGUUCUUUGUCACCAUUGUGGUGCACAUUCAGACUGCGGUCUUUGAGGUAUGACGCAUGGCACUUGGUGUCGCAAUGCCUACCUCUUCCGGCAAGUGCUAUCGCUCGCCACGCUUCCAGCGUAACCGCGGAGCUUCAUGAACUACCACUUACGGCAGGAGAUUACACAUCUCCUUGCGUAUGAGGCGUGCGGCUGAUUGUAUGCGAUGGUACUGGUUUGUCCUUGAGUUCACUUCGUGGCUCGCGCAUCCUUGGUGGAUCGUGAAACUCGAUUCAGACUACUCUCGGACUGG
rnacentral:RNase_P_RNA from 2 species